GUAAAAGGCCUCUAAUACAUGGCAUAUGAGAUGAACAAGGGAGGAUCAAAAGAUCUCUUCAAUUGCCAUAAGCAAUCCCUAAGUCAAACAUCGAUCAUAAAGAAGUCAACUGAAAAUUUAAGUCAACUUAAAAAAUAAUAAAUAAAUAGCAAAUUAAUCGAGAAAAUUAUGAAAAAUUAAACUGAAUGAGGUGGGGUCAGGACACCAUCAUCCCCCAAAAAUAUUUU
rnacentral:lncRNA from 1 species